rnacentral:rRNA from 1 species
UGCAAGUCGAGCGGACGAAUGGGAGCUUGCUCCCUGAUGUUAGCGGCGGACGGGUGAGUAACACGUGGGUAACCUGCCUGUAAGACUGGGAUAACUCCGGGAAACCGGGGCUAAUACCGGAUGGUUGUUUGAACCGCAUGGUUCAGACAUAAAAGGUGGCUUCGGCUACCACUUACAGAUGGACCCGCGGCGCAUUAUCUAGUUGGUGAGGUAACGGCUCACCAAGGGGACGAUGCGUAGCCGACCUGAGAGGGUGAUCGGCCACACUGGGACUGAGACACGGCCCAAACUCCUACGGGAGGCAGCAGUAGGGAAUCUUCCGCAAUGGACGAAAGUCUGACGGAGCAACGCCGCGUGAGUGAUGAAGGUUUUCGGAUCGGAAAGCUCUGUUGUUAGGGAAGAACAAGUGCCGUUCAAAUAGGGCGGCACCUUGACGGUACCUAACCAGAAAGCCACGGCUAACUACGUGCCAACAGCCGCGGUAAUACCUAGGUGGCAAGCGUUGUCCGGAAUUAUUGGGCGUAAAGGGCUCGCAGGCGGUUUCUUAAGUCUGAUGUGAAAGCCCCCGGCUCAACCGGGGAGGGUCAUUGGAAACUGGGGAACUUGAGUGCAGAAGAGGAGAGUGGAAUUCCA